rnacentral:tRNA from 1 species
AGGGUGAGAUUAUGACUCAGUGGUAGAGUAUCUGCUUUGCAUACAGAAGAUCCCAGGUUAAUUCCCCGGCACCUCG